rnacentral:rRNA from 1 species
CUGGAGCGCUUAGAAGUGAGAAUGCCGGUAUGAGUAGCGAAAGACAGGUGAGAAUCCUGUCCACCGAAUGACUAAGGUUUCCUGGGGAAGGCUCGUCCGCCCAGGGUUAGUCGGGACCUAAGCCGAGGCCGACAGGCGUAGGCGAUGGAUAACAGGUUGAUAUUCCUGUACCCGUUGUUUUUGUUUGAGCAAUGGAGGGACGCAGGAGGCUAAGGAAUGCAGACGAUCGGAAAUGUCUGUCCAAGCAGUAAGUCUGAAGAGGAGUCAAAUGCUUCUUUUCUUAAGGACAAGCUGUGAUGGGGAGGGAAAUAAUAGUACCGAAGUUCCUGAUGUCACACUGCCGAGAAAAGCUUCUAGUGAGAAAACAGCGGCCCGUACCGCAAACCGACACAGGUAGUCGAGGAGAGAAUCCUAAGGUGAGCGAGAGAACUCUCGUUAAGGAACUCGGCAAAAUGACCCCGUAACUUCGGGAGAAGGGGUGCUGAUCAUACGAUCAGCCGCAGUGAAUAGGCCCAAGCGACUGUUUAUCAAAAACACAGGUCUCUGCAAAAUCGUAAGAUGAAGUAUAGGGGCUGACGCCUGCCCGGUGCUGGAAGGUUAAGAGGAGUGCUUAGCGCAAGCGAAGGUACGAAUUGAAGCCCC